GUCUUUGUAGCUCGGCAUGCUCAUUAGGGUUCAACCUAUAGUGGGGCAAGUUGGGUAGGGUAGAUCCAGAAACUAAAUCAAUGGCAUGUUGAAUAUUUCUCAUAGGCGGUAAGUAAUCUGGAAGAUCCUCAGAAAAGAUAUCAUAAAACUCACUAAGAAGGCUAGCUACUUCCUUAGGAUAAUCCACCUUAGAAUCCUCACGAACUUCUCUAGCAGCAAGCAUCCAAACUGGUGAUCCUUCACUCAUG
rnacentral:lncRNA from 1 species